rnacentral:tRNA from 1 species
UAAACGAUGGUGUAAUAUAGCACGUAAAGCUUUGAACUUUAAGGCAAUAAAGUUUUAUUUCGUUUAA